CACGUGGCUGCAGGGUGUGCCCAGGCCACAGGAAAGAACCUCCCAGGUCAGGGCGGGAGGAGGUGAGGAGCACCCUGGACAGGGGGAAGACUCUCUGGUCAGACAGCAGGAGAUGAAGGGCAACCAGGAGUGGAGGGAGGACUCCCUGGUCAGAGAGCAGGAGGAGGUUCCAGGAAGAGAGCAGCAGGAGCAUCCAGGGGCAAAGGAAGGACUCCCUGGCUGGAGAGAGCAAGAGAAGAUGAGGAGCACCCAGGAGAGGGGAAGAAUUUU
rnacentral:lncRNA from 1 species